AGUGAACGCUGGCGGCAGGCCUAACACAUGCAAGUCGAACGGAAGCACAGUACGUGCUUGCUAUUACAGGGGCGGAGUGGCGAGUAGGUCGGGGGUACAUCGCAAUUUACUUUGGCGUGGGGCCGGAAGAAGGGGAACAUACCCUAAUACUGCAUACGACCUACGGGUGGAAUCAGGGGAUCUUCCGAUCUUGGGUGAUCGAAUGUCGGAUUAGCUAGUUGGCGGGGUAAAGGCCUACCAAGGCGACGAUCCGUAACUGGUCUGAGAGGAUGAGCAGACACACUGGAACUGAGACACGGUCCAGACUCCUACGGGAGGCAGCAGUGGGGAAUAUUGGACAAUGGGCGCAAGCCUGAUCCAGCCAUGCCGCGUGGGUGAAGAAGGCCUUCGAGUUGUAAAGCCCUUUUGGUGGGGAAGAAGAGCAGCAGGUUAAUACCUCGCUGUUCUGACGGUACCAAAAGAAUAAGCACCGGCUAACUUCGUG
rnacentral:rRNA from 1 species